rnacentral:lncRNA from 1 species
UGCUAACAGAAGAUGUAAAAAGUCGUUUUGGCCUGGAAGAAAUUAAGUCAGAGUAAUCAGAAGUCGACACAAACCAAGGGAAUGAAUUUAUACCGUAUCCAACUUGAACAACAUUGCAAUCAACGCACUAAGCUGAGUAUUCAACACUGUUACUAAUGCCCAACGCUGCUAUGAGAGGAGGAAAUAUAGUGCCAAGAAAUCCAGUACCUGUGCUGCAUAAUUUCACAAGGAAGAACAAACAAUAAUGAGAGACAGAGAGUAUUAGACAUCAAAAAUUCGAUCAGAAAUCAGAAAUCUGAUCAGAGAGAGAGAGAUAGUAUUAACAUAUCGGUGAAGAAAAUCAAUUAGGGUUUUCGCAUACGAAAUUACGGGUAAAAAUCGAGAAAUGGGACUACUCUAAGAUGUAAUCAAAGUUAUAUCAACGAGUUCUGAGAUUAAAAUUAUCAUGCAUUUCGGAAACCCCAGAAUUGGCCGGACGAAUUUAGGAGAGGAAAGUGUGGAUUUUGAUCGGAGGUGAUUUUGACUUUUGAGCCCGUACAUAUGUUGUCACCAUCUCAUGCUUAAGAAUCUCACACAUCCUGCUUCUU